rnacentral:rRNA from 1 species
ACGAACGCUGGCGGCGUGCUUCACCCAUGCAAGUCGCACGGAAAGGCCCUGCUUGCAGGGUCCUCGAGUGGCGAACGGGUGAGUAACACGUGGGUGAUCUGCCCUGCACUUCGGGAUAAGCCUGGGAAACUGGGUCUAAUACCGGAUAGGAGCCAUUUUUAGUGUGAUGGUUGGAAAGUUUUUUCGGUGUAGGAUGAGCUCGCGGCCUAUCAGCUUGUUGGUGGGGUAAUGGCCUACCAAGGCGGCGACGGGUAGCCGGCCUGAGAGGGUGGACGGCCACAUUGGGACUGAUAUACGGCCCAGACUCCUACGGGAGGCAGCAGUGGGGAAUAUUGCACAAUGGGCGCAAGCCUGAUGCAGCGACGCCGCGUGGGGGAUGACGGCCUUCGGGUUGGAAACUCCUUUCGCUAGGGACGAAGCUUUUUGUGACGGUACCUAGAUAAGAAGCACCGGCUAACUACGUG